rnacentral:rRNA from 1 species
AGUGCAGAAGGGGAGAGUGGAAUUNCAUGUGUAGCGGUGAAAUGCGUAGAUAUAUGGAGGANCACCAGUGGCGAAAGCGGCUCUCUGGUCUGUCACUGACGCUGAGGCUCGAAAGCGUGGGUAGCGAACAGGAUUAGAUACCCUGGUAGUCCACGCCGUAAACGAUGAGUGCUAGGUGUUAGGCCCUUUCCGGGGCUUAGUGCCGGAGCUAACGCAAUAAGCACUCCGCCUGGGGAGUACGACCGCAAGGUUGAAACUCAAAGGAAUUGACGGGGGCCCGCACAAGCGGUGGAGCAUGUGGUUUAAUUCGAAGCAACGCGAAGAACCUUACCAGGUCUUGACAUCCCGAUGCUAUUCUUAGAGAUAGGAAGUUACUUCGGUACAUCGGAGACAGGUGGUGCAUGGUUGUCGUCAGCUCGUGUCGUGAGAUGUUGGGUUNNNNNNNNNNNNCGAGCGCAACCCUUAUUGUUAGUUGCCAUCAUUAAGUUGGGCACUCUAGCGAGACUGCCGGUAAUAAACCGGAGGAAGGUGGGGAUGACGUCAAAUCAUCAUGCCCCUUAUGACCUGGGCUACACACGUGCUACAAUGGUCGGUACAACGAGUUGCGAGCCGGUGACGGCAAGCUAAUCUCUGAAAGCCGAUCUCAGUUCGGAUUGGAGGNUGC